UCCCAUGAAUACUAAUUGGAGAUUUUAAUGCAACACGAUUCUCGUCUGAUGGAAAUGGCGCUACAUCCAUUCAGAACACCCCAAAACUGCUCAACAACUUUGUCAACUCACAUUCCCUGGUAGAAAUAAAAUUAUUCGAAAGAAAAUUUAUGUGGUCCAAUCUCAGAGACGACCCAACAAUGGCAACCUUGGAUCGCCGCUUCACCUCCAUC
rnacentral:lncRNA from 1 species